UUCUGUUUUCAGCAGUGAUCAUGGAAUAGCACAUUAAGAGUUUUAAGUUAGUGUCCUUGAUAAUAUCAGAAGAAGGUUAAUCCCACUUCAACCAGUAUUUUUUCCUUUUUCUUUCUGUUUCUCUCUUUUGAGACACAGCCAUUGUUGCCCUGAGUAGUCUAGACUUGAUGUGCAGACAAGGGUGACCUUGAACUUCCCAUCUUCUCGCCUCCACAUCUUAAGUGCUAAGGAUUACGAGCAUGCACCAUCGUGCCUACCUUUUGUGAUACUGGGAAUCAAACCCAGGACUUCAGGAAUGGAAGGCAGGCUUGAAACUCAGCUGAGGAUGACCCUGAGUGGCUGAACCACCUGCCUCUAUUCCUGAGUGCUGAGAUUAUAGGUAUCUACCAGAUACCCAGAUUAUGGCUGGAACCCAAGACGCCUUGCAGCUUAGGUCCUAAAGUAGACUUGGAUCCAUACUUCUCCCUUCCUCCUUACGUUCGUCGAGCAUGUGGUCUGUUUAUUUCCUUUACAAGUCCUUACAUCACAGGCUCUCACCAUGUCCUUCUCUCUUGGUGUGUCGUGUUUGGUGUGAAGGAUACAGGGAAACCCUAAACCCACCCCCUGUGACCCAGAUGACACUGAAUUCGGAGCAACCUGGGAAAACCUACGUUGUUUCAUUGACAUUCACCGACUGACCUUACUUGACAGUUUUUUCUUGGGCUUAAUUUGCUUUUGUUUUUCUCUGCAUCCUGGACAGAAGGCUGCCUGGCAUUCUCAGGCCUUUUCUCCGUGAGCAAUCCCUAACGAGGGUGGAAUGCAUCUAUCUAUACUACAACUCAAGCAGCAAUCUAAGAUCUCACAAACGUUAGCUCAUGGGCCGGUGGAAUCAGUUCAUGGACUGGGUAAUAGAACGCUUGCCUCAAAUGCACAAGGCCUUGGGGUUAGUCCCCAAUACUGCAAAGCAAAACAUGUGAAGAGGUUGCUUUGGUGGUCUUACUGCCCUUGCUGCCUAGCUCCAGAAGCAGAAGCCUCACCCACAAUUGGGCAUCAGCCAGCCCCAGGAAGUGCCUGAGACUGAAUUUACUUAACAAAAAAUAUCAAACAUCCCAGUAGCAUCAUCGUGAUGAGUCUCACAGAGCUGGAGGAGACCCUGGCAGUGUGCUCUGACCCCCACCACUGUCCAGGGGUACAACAACCAAGAGCAGGAAAAGCCCUGGAGCUCAGAGCUGUUCUGGCUUAGAGGACACUGUCAUCUUGGCCUUGGCCAAGCUACUUCAGUUCUCCCCCGUCUUCAGAUCCCAACCUGGAUCUGCUUCAUUGCAUUGGGGUGAGAAUACAAUAUGCUGACACUUGAACUUAAAAUCCUGGGUUUCCUUCUAAACAUCUAAAUCAUUAAUCUGUACUUUUAAGAUUAAUCGGCCCUGGAGUGCUAACACGCUACCUCACAGGUUAAUAUUAAACACUUCUAUUUUGCUUGCCCUCUUAGAAGCUGAGUCAGAGCAACUGCCCAUGCGUUGGCUUACCCAACAUAAGCAGAGCACCGGAGGACCAACUGGACCACAAUCAUUAACAACAGAAAACAUAGAAAGCAGCCAAGGUCUGAGGCUCUCGCUCCCCAAUCAGAAAACCCUCAUUGCUGUGAUUUCAGUAAUCCCACUACACCUGAUCUCUACCAAUCGUCCACUCCUGGGCCGUUCACUAAUGGCAUGG